rnacentral:rRNA from 1 species
UACAGAGGUGGCAAGCGUUGUUCGGAAUUACUGGGCGUAAAGGGCGCGUAGGCGGCCUUCUAAGUCAGACGUGAAAUCCCUCGGCUCAACUGAGGAACUGCACGGGAAACUGCCUGGCUUGAGUUCGGGAGAGGGAAGCGGAAUUCCGGGUGUAGCGGUGAAAUGCGUAGAUAUCCGGAGGAACACCGGUGGCGAAGGCGGCUUCCUGGACCGACACUGACGCUGAGGCGCGAAAGCGUGGGGAGCAAACAGG